GAUGAACGCUAGCUACAGGCUUAACACAUGCAAGUCGAGGGGAAACGACAUCGAAAGCUUGCUUUCGAUGGGCGUCGACCGGCGCACGGGUGAGUAACGCGUAUCCAACCUGCCCACCACUUGGGGAUAACCUUGCGAAAGUAAGACUAAUACCCAAUGAUAUCUCUAGAAGACAUCUGAAAGAGAUUAAAGAUUUAUCGGUGAUGGAUGGGGAUGCGUCGGAUUAGCUUGUUGGCGGGGUAACGGCCCACCAAGGCUACGAUCAGUAGGGGUUCUGAGAGGAAGGUCCCCCACAUUGGAACUGAGACACGGUCCAAACUCCUACGGGAGGCAGCAGUGAGGAAUAUUGGUCAAUGGACGAGAGUCUGAACCAGCCAAGUAGCGUGCAGGAUGACGGCCCUAUGGGUUGUAAACUGCUUUUAUAAGGGAAUAAAGUGAGUCUCGUGAGACUUUUUGCAUGUACCUUAUGAAUAAGGACCGGCUAAUUCCGUGCCAGCAGCCGCCGCAG
rnacentral:rRNA from 1 species